rnacentral:rRNA from 1 species
AAGGAAAAAAUCAUUUAUUUUUAAAAUAUUAUUAGGACUUUAAAAAAAAAGUUAAUUUUUAUUAUUUAGUAAGAAAAAAGGCUUUAAAUUAUAGAGAAUUAGUACUGAGAGGGAAAUUUCUUAUUUUAUAGAUAGAAAAAUUUAUUUUUUGUACCUUGUGUAUCAGGGUUUAUUAACUAAAAUUUUAUGAUAAAAUUUUCUCGAAUUUAAAAGAGCUAUUUGGGUAUAAUUUUUAUUGUGGAAUAAAUAUUAAGGAUAUCUUUAUAGAAGUGAAAUGCUAACCGAUUUUAAAUAUAUCUAGUUUUUUAAGAAAAAAAUUUAAUUUUAUUUUUAUAUUACUAUGAAAUUUCCUUUUUAAUUUCAUAUUAAUAAAAUUUUAUAUUUUUAGGGAUGAGCUUAAAAGUAAAUUAAUAAAAUUAAGUAGGGAAUUAUUUAAUAAAUAGGAUUUUUAGUUUUCAUUUUUAUUAGUGUUUUACUACUAUUUAAAUAUUAGAUAUAAUUUUUAUUUGAUUUAUAUUGUUUAUUAAAAUAUAGGUUUAAAUAUUUUCAAUUUAGAAAUAAUGAUAAAAUUAGUAUAAUAAAUUGUUUAAAUUUUGAACUAAAUUUUAAGGUUAAAUAAAGGAAUUCGGCAAACCGAUUUUUCACCUGUUUAUUAAAAACAUGGCUUUUUGGUAAUAAUUUAAAGUCUGACCUGCCCAAUGAGAAAUUUAAUGGCCGCGGUAUUUUAACCGUGCAAAGGUAGCAUAAUAAUUAGUUUCUUGAUUAGAAGCUUGUAUGAAAGGUUUGAUGAAAAAAUAGCUGUCUCUGUUUAAAUUAAUUAGAAUUUUAUUUUUAAGUAAGAAAGCUUAAAUAUAUAUUGAAGACGAGAAGACCCUAUAGAGUUUUAUAUUAGAAUUGUCUUAAUUUUUUAGAAUUUAGGAAUUUUGGUUAAUUUUAGUAUUUUAUUGGGGUGAUUAAAAAAUUAAUUGAACUUUUUUUUCAUCUAAUCAUUAAUUUAUGAAUAAUUGAUCCUUAAAGAAGAUUAAAAGAUUAAAUUACCUUAGGGAUAACAGCGUAAUUUUCUUUGAGAGUUCUAAUCGAAAAGAAAGUUUGCGACCUCGAUGUUGGAUUAAAAUGAAAUUUUGGCGCAGAAGCUAGAAGUUUAGGUCUGUUCGACCUUUGAAAUUUUACAUGAUCUGAGUUUAAACCGGUGUGAGCCAGGUUGGUUUCUAUCUCAAUAAAAGGAAAAUAUUUUAGUACGAAAGGAUUAAAUAUUUAGUUUAAAAUUUUACUGUUGGAAUUCUAUUA